AGGGGUGAGGUGAUCUGGCUUUGACAGCUGUCACACAUUUGUUAGCAGGGGUGAUUUUAUCUAACAUUGGUACCUUCCGCCCUCACUGAUCUAUAUGUGGCCUGCCUCAAUCUAUAUACUAAGGCACAGAAGUUGAUUGUUUAAGCUCUAUAUAGACUCUUCUUUGGUCAAGGGUAUCUAAAUAGCUGAGUUAUUUGAGUAGAAACUCUGAAUGUGAAAUUACAGUUUGAAACAGCCCAAAUACCUAUUUUUAUAGCUGAGAAGAGACUCUAACAUGCAGGGUAUGCUGUCGC
rnacentral:snRNA from 1 species